rnacentral:rRNA from 1 species
GACGAACGCUGGCGGCGUGCCUAAUACAUGCAAGUCGAGCGAGUCUGCCUUGAAGAUCGGAGUGCUUGCACUCUGUGAAACAAGAUACAGGCUAGCGGCGGACGGGUGAGUAACACGUGGGUAACCUGCCCAAGAGAUCGGGAUAACACCUGGAAACAGAUGCUAAUACCGGAUAACAACAGAUGAUGCCUAUCAACUGUUUAAAAGAUGGUUCUGCUAUCACUCUUGGAUGGACCUGCGGUGCAUUAGCUAGUUGGUAGGGUAACGGCCUACCAAGGCGAUGAUGCAUAGCCGAGUUGAGAGACUGAUCAGCCACAUUGGGACUGAGACACGGCCCAAACUCCUACGGGAGGCAGCAGUAGGGAAUCUUCCACAAUGGACGCAAGUCUGAUGGAGCAACGCCGCGUGAGUGAAGAAGGGUUUCGGCUCGUAAAGCUCUGUUGUUGGUGAAGAAGGACAGGGGUAGUAACUGACCUUUGUUUGACGGUAAUCAAUUAGAAAGUCACGGCUAACUACGUG